CCCCCCCCUCCCCAAACUGUUAAAGAGACAAGAAGGAUAAGAUUAGGUCUUACAAAUUAUCUCAGGGACUGCUGUUGACUUUUGUGUGCCUGGAGCUGACAAUACGGACCAGCUGUUGUACAGAGGAGUGUAUGUCUCCUUUCAUACCAUCCCAGAUACAGGACUACAGAGAAAGAAGCCAAAAAUGGUUUGAAAUGGAAUUAUUUAAAAUUCUUUACAGAGACAAACUUCCACAUCUUGUUCAAGCCCCCAGUUAUGGUGUGACAGACAUUUACGUGUGCUUGAAGCCCUGGUGACUAAGAAGGUGCUGCCAUUUCAAUUUUGUACACUCUGACAAUGAAUGAGAAAAUUUUUUCAUUUCUCACAUUCUACUGCACAGGCAUCCUCAUAAGAAUCAGGACUUGUGAACUGCAGCCAUUUCACUCUGCAAACCUUGGACAAAGUUUGUUUGAUAUAAAUUGUCUUUUGGCUGAGCUUGCUCACAAUAAAAGAGCACUCACUGGAUAAGCUCAACUCCUGCUGGCUUGUUACAGCUAUUCCCCCCAGAAUCUGGAAUAUUUGAUGUUGUUAUCAGAACUGUUGUGUUUGGAAAUUUCAGUCUGGAAGCUGAAAUCUACAUUGAGGGAUAGAAAAUCGGAGGAUACUACAUGUCAGUUAAACGUGUUAGCAUGCCCCUGGAAGGGGUACAGGUAAGAGGUGUAUAUACUGCAAAAUGUUACAGUCCCCAAUUUGCAGCCAUCCUCAAGAUAAGGCAAAGAGGCCUUUUUCUCUUUUUAAUUUUAAUAUUAAAUUAAUAUUUAAUGUGCAGUUAUGAUAAAACAAUAUAGGAUAAAAUCCUGGGACUCUUCCC
rnacentral:lncRNA from 1 species